GAAGCUGGCCAGGCAAUCGCUGUCGAUGAUUAUCUUUGAUAAUUUUCGGGGGAGGAAAGUCCGGACUUCAGAGGGCAAGGUGCCAGGUAACGCCUGGGAGGCGAGAGCCUAUGGAAAGUGCCACAGAAAAUAUACCGCCCGUUCACUUUUAAAGUGGAUGGGUAAGGGUGAAAUGGUGCGGUAAGAGCGCACCGCGCUGAUGGUGACAUCAGUGGCAGGGUAAACCCCACCUGAAGCAAGACCAAAUAGGGAUCCUGAGGCGUGGCCCACGCUGGAUCCGGGUAGGUCGCAUGAGGUUUGUGGUGACACAGAUCCCAGAUGAAUGAUUGUCCAAGACAGAAUCCGGCUUAUCGGCCAGCUUCAUUU
rnacentral:RNase_P_RNA from 1 species